GUGAGCAGAGUCUGUUCUUGUUUCCAAUCUUGUUUAUGUUUCUGGAUGCUAUGGGGCUGUGUUAUGGCUUCAGAGGACAGUGUGUGUGCUUCAGCACCGUAGCUCAUCUUCUCUUGUGGAGUACCCGUGCUCUUGCUUUGGCUGCUGCAGGUUUACUUUCACUGUAGUGCAUCAGCCUGUGUCUCAGCUACUAUGAAUCCCUCCACACCUCACUAACCUUCUGAGAGGGAGAGAGAGAUCCUUAUUACUGCUUUGAAUGCAACACGUUGUCUCAAAACCAUCUGUAGAGCUGCUGGCCCAGAGUCAUUCCUCUAACUAAGGGGUUUACUAAUUUGAGGGCUGCAGUGUGAAGCACCUGUUACUAAAAGUCAGGCAAGCCUCUUAGAACUGAGCAUAUCCCAGAGGAAACCAGACUUUGCUAAUGCUUCUCAUAAGACCAUGCAAACUUGGUGUUCUGGGUCUGCAAGAAAGACUUCGUGCCCAGUUCUGAUUUCAUAAAUGGGAUGGAAUCUACAGGUUACAGGUGAUGUGGACUUCUCACUUGCAUAUUUAUUCAGCAUCUAUCACAGUGGGAGGCCCUGGAUGUGACUGUAAUACAAACAACACUGACAAAUCCGUGUUUCCAUGGACAGUGCAAAUACAUACUGCUGUCCAGACCUUCUGUGCUCAGUGCAGAAGCACUGGCGUUACUCAUGUCACGCCUCUAAAUUUGGUUCCCUGGUAUUCCUGGGACUAAUGCCAGACCACAGUGUAUGACUUCAUUUAAGGCACAGAGGUGGCUUCACGAGUGGCUCUUCCUCAUUGCUGGACCAUGGCACUGUGCUCAGGACUUCACUUAUUACCUGUCUCUUCCUUUGGAUUAAAUUGUUCUCUGUGAAAAAUACUCUGCAGCCUUUUCUUCAUCAAAGCCCAGUUUUUUUGAUUGCCAAAUAGAAAGCAAGAAUUCCCAAGAGGCUCCUUAGGCUGGAAAACCAACAUGAUGGGUAGAAGAGCUUUGCAAGACCAGCAAGAAAACUGUUAAGCCUCACCUUUGCUUGGCAUGGUUAAGAGAAAUUUAUUUCUCUGCUGUGAUGUUUGUUUGGGCCACAUAGUGCUUUUUAAGCAUCACCAUCAAAUCUUCUUAGUUUGAAGCACCUGAGUCUUGAGGGAAACAUCAGUCUUCCAGGACUACUACUACCUCUCUUCUGAACAGAGUUUGGAAAAUGGAUUAUUUUUUUUUCAUGAAAAUCUUCAGUAGUGUCAAAAUGAAAA
ensembl:lncRNA